GCCUCUGCACUGGGAUUCCUCCAGCCCCAGCAAGUCCCUCAGGUGGUCCCAGCCUCUGUGUCCGCCUCUGCUCUCCCAGAGCGCCUCAGGCAGAGCAGCCAGGAUGGGGACCAGGCCCGCCUUACCGGGAAUGAGCCUGUCACCUGCUCCUCCCACCCCGCAGCAGCCUCUGUCGGGCUGACAGUGACUUCAGGAAUGCUCUCCUCCUGCCGCACUCUGGACCUGUUGGCCAUGCUGUUCAACUUAGCAAAUGUUCUUCCUCACCGCCAACCACAGUGGCCAGGUGCAAGUCCCUCUUGGACAACCUCAGCCCUGGAUACACCGCCUUAUUUACCACUUCGUGAGCAAAAAUAGUCCUUUUUUUUAAAUGGGGUCUCCUUCUGUUGACCAGGCUGGAGUGCAGUGGCGCAAUCACAGUUCACUGUAGCCUGACCUCCUGGGCUCAAGCGAUCUUCCCCUCAGCCUCCCAAGUAACUAGGACUACAGGUGCAUACCACCAUGCCCAGCUAAUAUUGUUUAUUUUGUGUAGAGACAGGGUCUAGCUAUGUUGCUCAGGCUUGACCUUUAGUUUUUCUCAGAAUUUCAAGAGGUUGUGUCUUAUCUGCCAACAGAUCAUGCAACCAGCAAGGCUCUGGUCCAAGUAGGAACGGAUGGUAAACUGGGCAGUGAUGAUGGUGGAGAUGGUGGUGGUGGUGAUGAUGAUGACAAUGAUAAUGAUGAUGGUGAUGGCAGUGGUGGUAGUGGUGAUGGUGCUGGUGGUGCUGGUGAUAUGAUGAUGGCAGUGAUGGUAGUGAUAAUAGUGAUGAUAAUGUGAUGGUAGUGAUGGUGGUGGCAGUAAUAGUGAUGGUGAUGGUGGCAGAGAGGGUGGUGACAGUGAUGUCAGUGGUAAUGGUGGUGGUGAUGGUAAUGGUGAUGGUGGUGGUGGUGAUGAUGGUGGUGAUAGUGGUAGUGAUGGUGUGGUGGAAAUGAUGGCUGUGAUCGUGAUGAUGAUGGUAGUGAUGGUUACAAUGAUAGUGGUGGUAGUGGUGGUGAUGGCAAUGAUGGUAUUGAUGGUGAUGGUGGUGGUGGUGGUAGUGAUGGUGGUGGUGGUAGAUGGUGGCAGUGAAGACGGUGGUAAUGGUAGAUGGUGGCAGUGAAGAUGGUGGUAAUGAUGGUAAUGGUGAUAGUGGUGCUGGUGGUGAUGGUGAUGGUGGUGGUGGUGGUAGUGAUGGUGAUGAUGAUGGUGAUAGUGAUGGUGGUGGUGGUGGUGGUGCUGUUAGUGGUGGUGGUGGUGUUGCUGGUGGUGUUGGUGAUGGUGGUGGUGGUGGUGGUGAUGGUCAUGGUGGUGGUGGUGGUGGUGGUGGUGAUGGUGGUGGUGGUGGUGGUCAUGGUGAUGGUGGUGAUAGAGCCAAGAGGCUCUUGGGACCAUAUGGCUGGGACUGAAGGCAGUGUAGACACAGCUGACCCUUCAUGAGGGCUCUGCCUGGCUCUAGUAGCUUCUAUCCUGAAAGCCUGGUGAGUGUCUGAAGGAUGGUCCCCUUGUUAAGUGAGGGCAGGCUUGUGGAUUUCAGGGGCCCCAGAGGCCUGGGAGGACAUUUAGUGGGGGCGGGGUCCUCACCAAAGACUCAAUGGGCUCUGGAGUUCCUGUGUCUCCUGAGACCUGCGCCUGACGUCACCCUCUGGAUGGCCUCUGGCCUCUACCUGGGCUGGGGUGUCCCAGGAACAGAGAAGGACCCAACUAUUGUUGGGGACCCCAGCACUCUCUGUCCAACCGAGCCUGGGGCCUGGGUGGCAAAUGUGGGCAUUGCGAGAGUGGCAGGACUGGGAGGAGGCCCAAGCCCUGGGUAGGGCCUGGGGGGUGCCAGGUCCACACCUCCGAGGUGGUGAGUGGUGCAGACAGCUGGUGCCUGUGGGUCCCUAACAAAUGCAGCUGAGAAGUGGGCCCUCAGAUGUCCACGUGGCAUAACCCUGCUGUGACUGAAGCCGCCAGCCUGGAUUGAACAUUCUUCAAGAUUUCUGCCUUCAUUUAACAAGUAUGUGUGUCACUCGUGUUGUGAGCCAGGCACUCCAUGCAGCCAGAUCAAGGCAGGGAAGUCCCUGCCCAGGAGUACUCAUGUCCCAGUAGAGACAGAGGCCACAGGGCUUGCCCUGUGAAGCCAGCAGGCCCUGGGGGCUGGCUGUGAUGAGGACCUCCGAGUCCUUUGGGGAAUCUGCUGCCCAAGUCAGACCCAGAUGGAAGCCUGGAGCUGCCCCGCAGGAGCAGGGAGGGAGUGCUCUGUCCUGAGGUAUACAGCUUUUACUAGCUCCGAUGGGGUGCCUCUUGGGGUCCCCCAGCCUGGGAAAGAGGCGCCAUCAGCUCUAGGAGGCUGAGAGCCUGGAGUCUUGGCCUCUGAAGGCUGCGUUUCCUGGAUGGCAAAGUCCAGCAGGACCCUGGCACCAGGGGUCCUUGGGCAGGCAGUUGGUCCUAGGCAAAGAAAAAAGGGCAGAGCUGCCCUAGCUGAGAGGGUGGAAGGCCAUGUGCCCCCCCCAACCACGAUGGGCGCUAGGAGUCAGAUACAAUUACUCUCUCAGUGUAUCAUAAUUACUGCAAAUAGCCCAUUAAAGAGAAAUUAUCAUCAAUAUGAUAUUAGCAGACAGCGGGGGAAAUGAAGAAAGAAAAGUGCUUAUUCUCUCAUUGUCCCCUUAAUGGGGACAAGGGGUGGAGAGGCAGUGGCCCCUGUUCACUGACCUCACCUCCCUGCCCACUGCAUGGAGCCACGAAGGACCCGGCAGGCUGGGAGCCAAGGCAUGACCCUGGAAACAGCAGUGCAGGAAGAGCGGGUGCCAUGGGUGGAGUCGGACCUGCCUCUGCCCACUGUCGGGGGCUCCGCUGUCGCCUCCCAAACCUGGCUUUAGUCCAGCUUGGGUGGCUCGGGCCUCCCUUGAGGUAGCCUCUGCUGCGCCCCCACCCCCACCGUGAACCCUCCAAGGGAAGGCCCUGGAGUAGGAGGGGUCUUGGUUCAGCCUGUCCUGAGCUUGUGGCCCUUUAAAUCCUGGGAACCAGGCUCCACUAGACGUGGCCUCUGGAGCACAGGUCUCUCCCAAACAUCACCAAAAUGACCGAAGAGGAAGAGGGAGGUGCCGUUUGCAGGAAAGAGAGAACGGGAGUGGAGCAGCAGCCACCAGUGAGGGAAGAGGUGGCAAAGUGCUCCAUGGCUGGGGUGCCUAUCUUGGCAGAGUGGAGCAGAUGGUGAGCCAGACGUUCAGCUGGGCCCGGGUGGGCAUCCGUCAGAGCCAUUAGGCCCCUCGCUGUGGCCUCUCCCAGCCACAGGGGACCCUGGGGAAACUGGGCCUGGGACCAGGCUCACUGGAGGGUGGGUAUGAGGCUCUCACUGAAGAUAGGGGAUUGAGUGGCCAUCACAAACCAAGCUCAGCCGCCUGCCCCUCCUUCUCUUAGCAAUGACACCAGCAGCCCAUAGUCCCCAGGCAGGAGAGCAGAGGAGCCUUCCUUGAAAAACUCAAUGGCCAGAGGAAAAAGACCAGCCUCUCAAAAUGAUAGAUUCCCCAUUGCCUGGUCCUCUACAGAAAGGCCCAUCUGCCGACAAGACCACUGCCACCCUCUGCCACCCUCCACCACCCUCCGCCAGGUCACCAGAAUGCCAGGCCUCACUCAUGAUCAGCUGAGCACCAGCAGGCAGGUGAGAAGAGCCUCCAGUGUGGAGCAGGUCAACCAGCAACAGAGCCAGGGAGACCCAUGGAGUCCAGAGAAAACGGUAACAACGGCAGCAGCACCCAGAGACUGGCUCCCAGUGAGUUAAGCCCAGCCGCGACCCUUGGAUGUGCCAGCUGAUUUAAUACUCAUGAUAAACCCAGUAGAUGUGCAUAUAUCACUUCAAAAAAACAAAAGUGGAUGUGGCUGAUGCCAAAGUGACCUGCCCCAGAAGAGCUGCUAACAGAACAGCAUCCCAGGAGGCUGCAGAAGGCUGAAGAGCAGAGCCCACACCUGCUAUGGGCCACAAGAGGCCCUGGAUGCCAUGGAGGCCGCAAGGGCCCAGGCGGGACUUGCAGAAUGAGAGUCCUAGGCCCAAGUAUAGAGUCCCUGGUGGGCACAGAGGAGAGACCAGGUCAGUGGGAGGGGUUGUCAGACCCUGUGGAGUGCCCCACCUGUGUGCCAGGCCCAGAACUGGGCUCAACUCUGAUGGUAGCAGGUGGAAAGUAGACUUCACUACUGUGGGAGUGGGGGCAUUCCUGGACACAGGGGGAAACCAGCUCACAGAACAGCCUGGGGUCUUCUUGGAGGAGGCCAUUUUGGCCCAGAUCCUAAAGGAAGACUGGAAGCCUCAGGGGGCAGUGAGAACAGGGACAAGAGAGGGCAGGUCUCAGGACUGACUGAGCAACUCAGACUGACCUGGAUCAAACUGUGGAGCCGGCGAAGGGUUUAGAGGGUUGCUGCAGGACAGUGGUGUCUGCAAAGACGCCUCUGGCUGCUGUCUGGAAAAUAGACAGGGGAGGCUGGGCAGGGGUCUGGGCAGGGGCUGGACAGGGGUGCUGGGCAGGGGCUGGACAGGGGUGCUGGGCAGGGGCUGGACAGGGGUGCUGGGCAGGGGCUGGACAGGGGUGCUGGGCAGGGUCAGUCCAUCUCCAUCCUGCUUUCCUUUUCUUUCUUUUCAACAAAUAUUGAUGGAGCACCUCCUCGGUGCCAGGCGCUGCUGCAGCCUCUAGGAAAUCAACCGUGGAAACACACGGACCCUGCCCUCCCGGCGCCAGUGUUCUGGUGGUCAGGAGGUGAAGAAAACCAGCAAGAACCAGCACAGGAAUCCGACGGUGGCAGCGCCGAGAGAAACAAGCUUGGAGGGGAAGGAGAGCUACAGAGGCUGCAUGGAUGUGAUGGUUGGAGUGGAAGCUGACAUUGUGGGCCAGGAGACCCUGGGAGUACAGGCCAAGAUGAAAAGAGCCUCAAUCCAGAGCGUUCUGUGAAGCAGUCACCACGGCCACCCUGGGCCAUCAGCUUCUGGACUUUUACAACAUAGAAAUUAAAUUUCCAUUGAAUUUGUUGGAGUCAUUGUUCCUUCAGCUCUCUGUUACCUGCACUUACAUCUCUCUGUGAGUCGCGGAGUCUUGCAGUUAAGGUAUUAAUAUUAUUGCGUCUCAAGGUGCCUCAGGUCAGAGGUUCCAAAGGUGAAUGAGGGCACAGCUCUCCGUCUGAGACUCACGGUGGAGAAGCCUCCUCACCUUGCUCCUUCUCCCUGUCACCAAGAAAGGAGGUCUGGGGGAAGGAAGGGGUCCGUGUGGCCCUCCCGCCCCCACACUGUCCCUCUUGGAUUCUGCUAGCCUGUGGGUGUGGGCAGCAGCUCAGCCUGGCCCUGGAAUUUUCCAUAAAG
rnacentral:lncRNA from 1 species